ACACAUGCAAGAAAAACGGUAACGCGGGGCAACCUGGCGACGAGUGGCGAACGGUUUAGCAAUGCAUCGGAACGAGCCUGGUAGUGGGGGAUAACUGCUCGAAAGAGCAGCUAAUACCGCAUACGACCUGAGGGUGAAAGGGGGGGAUCGCAAGACCUCUCGCUAUCAGAUCGGCCGAUGUCGGAUUAGCUAGUUGGUGGGGUAAAGGCCCACCAAGGCGACGAUCCGUAGCUGGUCUGAGAGGACGACCAGCCACACUGGGACUGAGACACGGCCCAGACUCCUACGGGAGGCAGCAGUGGG
rnacentral:rRNA from 1 species